CCAUCUGAUGAUAUAAUUUGCGAUUGAUAUUUAACCAUUCACCGGAGGUUCACGCCAGAGCUUCUUAACGGGUUUGGAGAUAUGAUAUUCAAUUCUUACAUAUGCUGAAC
rnacentral:snoRNA from 1 species